rnacentral:lncRNA from 1 species
CCCUUCUUCCCCUCAGAGCCUCUAAAAAUUAAAGAUCAUGGAAGGUUCCUCGCCCUAGAGCCCGCGACAGAGAAAUAACCCCACGGAUCACAGGUGGACACAUCUAUCCGACCCCAAGGGCCUAACGAGUCCGAGGACGGAUCCCACAUCACCCAGCAGGAGAUGAAGGCGGAGAAAAACAAUUGACCAAUCGCCAUCACUGAAUUGACCAAUCGCCAUCCUUGAAGCCCUGCUCUGUUCUUUGAUUGGCUUUAAUGGUGACGCCCCGUUCCGAAUUCCUUGCUCGGAUUGGUCUACUUCUUGCUUCUGACCUGGAUGGUGGCCAGAGGAGGACAAGAGACUUCCAGACAGAAUGGAGGGACGAUUUGGGUGACAUCUGAGACGCAGUCGCACACCAACAUGCAGCCGGGCUCCGGGGACGUGGCGGCGGCCUCUGUGGUCUCGGUGCUGCUGAUGGCGACUGCGAGGAGCGGGUGGCAGCGCCUCCCGAGCCCGGCGCUGCGGCGGAGGUAACGGUCGCGCUCUGGGGCGGGCGAUGUUUGGCCUGCCAGCGCCCAGAGAGGUGAGGAGGGGGCGGAGGACCAGAGGAAAGAAUCCGCGAGACCCGGGGUUCUGCUUUCAGUCCCACCCCGAAAGCUUCAGCUGGAGAAAUUUUCUGCUGGGAAGCUCAUCCUCAAAGAGAAAGCUGAGACCACUGCGUUCAGAAUUCAGAUGUGACAUAAGAUCCAAAUGGCAAUCCCGGCACUUGACUACUGUGUGGAAACAACUUGUCAUGCCUGCAUUGUGGAAACAGUGUUCAAAAUGA